CCCAUCGCUCCUCUCUCGCUCGUCUCUCCCUCUCCCCCGCACCACUUCUCGCCGCCGCCACCACCACCACCACCGACGGCGCCCGAUCCCGCCCGAUUCCAGCGUCCUCCGGCGCGCCCAGCACACCACCGUGCCCCCCUCUCAACGCUCCUUCCUCCCAUCGGGCCAGAUCCGGCGCGUGUAUCCUCCAGCGGCCAAGCGUGACCCUGCCCAGCAGCUAGGGUUUGGGCCAGCACGUCGCCGGCGUGGCUCCGGCGUUGCUCCGGUGAUUUAGAUCUAGCGCACCGUAGCCGCUCGAGCACCGGGACGCCAUGGAUGGGAAGGCUUCUUCCUCCCCUGUCCCGAUGCCAAGAACGACGCAGCUCCACCACCAGACCAUGUAGACGGAGCUCCUUCUCCCGCAUCACCCAUGGAGCCUCCCUCUCAGCGCCCGGAGCCCUAGAGAGUAUGAAUCGCUCCUCCCGCUGUCUCCUCUAGCCUUACCUGCAUAUGAACAAACUGCAAGAGACAGAUACAAUUCCUAACAUGUGAAAGGUUGUUUUAUGACUUAUCCAUCUCGCAAACACAUUCUAUAUCUACCGGAAUCUAUCACUUCUUUCUACUUACAUGGCAGAUAUAUCUACAAGUAAACCUACAUGUUUUUUGUAGUUCAAAUGGAGUAUCCUAUAUCAUUUUAUUAUUAUGCAGAAUUGUUUGUUCAGUCACAUCAGCCGCCCUUUGCUAGAGCUGUUGUGGAGCAAAUUAGAUGGGCGAACCAAUAGAUAAUUAUGUAGCUGUAGUAGGCCGGUAAUGGUUUACAGGGAUAUUCCUUAUAUUUACUUGAUAUUUGAUCUUAAUAUUCACUGGACACAAUUCUCUCAUGGUUGCAAUAUUUUUUUCCUAAGUUCACUCCAAUUGUGUUGGCAUUCAUGUUUUAUUUCUUUUAAUCAGUUUACUAAUCAUACUGAUAAAAUAAAUAUAACUACUUGAGAAUAAAGGGAAAAGGAGAAUAAAGGAUGGUUGUGGUAGCAGAAUGGUAUUUUUGCUUAGGCGCAAUCAUACUUAUGUAGUACUAAAUAACCUGUCAUGUCAUUCUUCAAGUCUGCACAUAGCACUGUUAUUUUAGGAGCAGAUUUCUCAUCCUUCAGAAACCUGAACUUGCUUAAUAGCCAAUUUAGCAGAGUAUUACCAGUUCCUUGAUGUCAUUUCUGGUAUGCAAUCAUAUGACAUGUCUCGUGUAAAUAAAUAUGGGUUGUUGUCAAUUUUUUAAUCUACAAUUGAUCUAGUGUUUUUUACAUGGUAGCUUGAUAUCCUCCUUCCUUUUCUAAUAUGCAAACUUCAAAUGUGUGAGGUGCAUAAGUGCAUGAGGUGCGGUUCACCUUAGGCUGCUGCCGCUCGUCAGCGGUCUGGUCCAGUGUCACUUAACCAUUGUGACCUGGCUGGUACGGUUCAGCUUUGAGCUGCCCACCGCGGAGUGGGAGGCCGACAUGCUCAUGAACAUCAAGGCCGGAUCAAGUACGCUGGUGCAUCGCGGCGUGCGGCGGCCUAUUUUCUUGUAGUGGUAUUGUAUAUGGUCUCAUCCAGCACUGAGUAUCCAUAUGUUGUUCUAAUCCGAUGAUGUUGUAGCAUAAAGUGGACACCAUAUUCAUUUUGUCUUGAUGCUUUAUCUCUUGUGGUUCUUGUCUAAUGCACAUUGUUCUUUGCAGGGUUAUGAUGAUAUUUCCAAGGAAAUAUACUGACCCUGAUGCGACAAAGGUGUCCAUUUUCCCUUUCUUAAACUUUUUUACUCUGUUUUUUGUUCUUCCUGUAGUUCCAGUUUCACAUUGCUGGUGUUUCAUGCAAUAUUCAACAGAUCCUGCUUUCAU